rnacentral:rRNA from 1 species
UACGUAGGGCGCAAGCGUUGUCCGGAAUUAUUGGGCGUAAAGAGCUCGUAGGCGGCUUGUCACGUCGGGUGUGAAAGCCCGGGGCUUAACCCCGGGUCUGCAUUCGAUACGGGCAGACUAGAGUGCGGUAGGGGAGACUGGAAUUCCUGGUGUAGCGGUGAAAUGCGCAGAUAUCAGGAGGAACACCGGUGGCGAAGGCGGGUCUCUGGGCCGUAACUGACGCUGAGGAGCGAAAGCGUGGGGAGCAAACAGG